rnacentral:rRNA from 1 species
AGGAUAAACGCUGGCGGCGUGCAUGAGACAUGCAAGUCGAACGGACGAUCAGGGCUUGCUCUGAUCGUUAGUGGCGGACGGCUGAGUAACGCGUAGGUGACCUGCCCCGAAGUGGGGAAUAACUGCCCGAAAGGGUGGCUAAUACCGCAUGUGGUGGUGUGUUCAUCCACACCAGUAAAGCCGCAAGGCGCUUCGGGAGGGGCCUGCGUCCGAUUAGCUCGUUGGUGGGUAACGGCUCACCAAGGCGACGAUCGGUAGGUGGUCUGAGAGGACGAUCACCCAGACUGGGACUGAGACACGGCCCAGACUCCUACGGGAGGCAGCAGUCGGGAAUUUUGCGCAAUGGACGAAAGUCUGACGCAGCAACGCCGCGUGAGGGAUGAAGGCCUUCGGGUUGUAAACCUCUUUUAUCUAGGGAAGAUAAUGACGGUACCUGAUGAAUAAGUCACGGCUAACUACGUGCCAGCAGCCGC